rnacentral:miRNA from 8 species
AGUGCACCCAGGCAAGGAUUCUG